rnacentral:rRNA from 1 species
CCUACGGGUGGCAGCAGUGGGGGAUAUUGCACAAUGGGGGAAACCCUGAUGCAGCGACGCCGCGUGGGUGAAGAAGCGCCUCGGCGCGUAAAGCCCUGUCAGCAGGGAAGAAAAUGACGGUACCUGAAGAAGAAGCCCCGGCGAACUACGUGCCAGCAGCCGCGGUAAUACGGAGGGGGCAAGCGUGAUCCGGAUUUACUGGGUGUAACGGGGGCGCAGACGGCGAUGCAAGCCAGGCGUGAAAGCCCGGGGCCCCACCCCGGGCCUGCUCUUGGAACUGCUUGGCUAGAGUGCAGGCGGGGCAGGCGCACUUCCUGGUGUAGCGGUGAAAUGCGUCGAUAUCAGGAGGAACACCAGUGGCGCAGGCGGCCUGCUGGACUGCAACUGACGUUGAGGCCCGACCGCGUGGGGAGCAAACAGGAUUAGAUACCCUUGUAGUC